rnacentral:tRNA from 1 species
GCGAGGGUGGCGAACUGGCAGACGCGCUGGACUUAGGAUCCAGUGGGUAAAACCGUGUGGGUUCAAGUCCCAUCUCUCGCACCA